AACGAACGCUGGCGGCAGGCCUAACACAUGCAAGUCGAGCGAGCAUUUCGGUGCUAGCGGCGGAAGGGUGAGUAACGCGUGGGAACGUGCCCUUUUCUGCGGAAUAGUCCUGGGAAACUGGGGGUAAUACCGCAUACGCCCUUUUGGGGAAAGAUUUAUCGGAGAAGGAUCGGCCGCGUUGGAUUAGGUAGUUGGUGGGGUAAUGGCCCACCAAGCCGACGAUCCAUAGCUGGUUUGAGAGGAUGAUCAGCCACACUGGGACUGAGACACGGCCCAGACUCCUACGGGAGGAAGCAGUGGGGAAUCUUAGACAAUGGGGGCAACCCUGAUCUAGCCAUGCCGCGUGAGUGAUGAAGGCCUUAGGGUUGUAAAGCUCUUUCAGCUGGGAAGAUAAUGACGGUACCAGCAGAAGAAGCCCCGGCUAACUCCGUG
rnacentral:rRNA from 1 species